rfam:Canis lupus familiaris chromosome 18, whole genome shotgun sequence.
CGGGGGAGGCGGGAUCCUGGGCUGUGUCCCGGCGCCCUGUGCUCCGGAGCCUGCGCUGGUGGAUUCGCGCUCCCGGGCCGCCGCCGCGCAGCCCCCU